rnacentral:tRNA from 1 species
GGGUCAGUAGCUCAGUUGGUUAGAGCACCGUCUUGAUAAGGCGGGGUCGCUGGUUCGAUUCCAGCUUGACCCACCA